rnacentral:rRNA from 1 species
UACGGAGGGUGCGAGCGUUGUCCGGAAUCACUGGGCGUAAAGGGCGCGUAGGCGGCCUGAUAAGUAGGGGGUGAAAUCCUGCGGCUUAACCGCAGGGCUGCCUUCUAAACUGCCGUGACUCGAGUCCGGUAGGGGAGUGCGGAAUUCCCGGUGUAGCGGUGAAAUGCGCAGAUAUCGGGAGGAACACCAGUGGCGAAGGCGGCACUCUGGGCCGGAACUGACGCUGAGGAGCGAAAGCGUGGGGAGCGAACAGG